rnacentral:rRNA from 1 species
CGGGAUAAGCUUUGGAAACUGGGUCUAAUACCGGAUAGGAGCCAUCUUUAGUGUGAUGGUUGGAAAGUUUUUUCGGUGUAGGAUGAGCUCGCGGCCUAUCAGCUUGUUGGUGGGGGUAAUGGCCUACCAAGGCGGCGACGGGUAGCCGGCCUGAGAGGGUGUACGGCCACAUUGGGACUGAGAUACGGCCCAG